rnacentral:rRNA from 1 species
GCAAGGUUGGAACUCAAAGGAAUUGACGGGGGCCUAAAACUAGUGGUGGGGUAUGUGGUUUAAUGCGAUAAUCCGCGCAAAAUCUUACCAAUCUUUGACAUAAGGAAAUUUCGAUUUAUUUAAUCUAAAUAAAUAAAAUAAAUUUUUUUACAGGUGUUGCACGACUGUCAUCAGCUCGUGUCGUGAGACUUUUGGUUAAGUCCUUUAACGAGCGCAACUCUUAUCUUUUAAUAUACUAAUCUACGAUUUUUAAAAACGAACUUAUUUUUAAAAUUGCUUUAAAGAUACGGUCAAUGAUAAAUUAAAGAAGGUGAGAACUAAGCCAAGUCAAUGUGACCCUUAUAGAUUCGGGCUACACACGUGCUACAAUGAAAACUACAAAAAGUUACAAAAAGUUUUUCGUAAAUCUUCAAAAGUUUUCCCAGUUCGGAUUGUAAACUGAAACUCGUUUACAUAAAGUUGGAAUCACUAGUAAUCGCAAAUCAGCAUGUUGCGGUGAAUAUGUAAAUUGGCCUUGU